AAGAACGCUGGCGGCAGGCCUAAGACAUGCAAGUCGUACGCGAACGACCUUUCGGGGUUAAGUAGAGUGGCGAACGGGUUAGUAACGCGUGGGAACAUACACAGCACAGGGGGAUAACCAUUGGAAACGAUGGCUAAUACCGCAUACGCCCUAUUGGGGAAAGAUUUAUCGGUGUUGGAUUGGCCCGCGUUAGAUUAGCUAGUUGGUGGGGUAAUGGCUCACCAAGGCGACGAUUUAUAGCUGGUUUGAGAGGAUGAUCAGCAACACUGGAACUGAGACACGGUCCAGACUCCUACGGGAGGCAGCAGUCGGGAAUAUUGUGCAAUGGGGGCAACCCUGACACAGCCAUGCCGCGUGAGUGAAGAAGGCCUUAGGGUUGUAAAGCUCUUUCAGAUGUGAGGAUGAUGACGAUAGCAUCAGAAGAAGCUCCGGCUAACUUCGUGCCAGCAGCCGCGGUAAUACGAAGGGAGCUAGCGUNGUUCGGAAUUACUGGGCGUAAAGGGCGUGU
rnacentral:rRNA from 1 species